rnacentral:tRNA from 1 species
GCCAAUGUAGCUCAGUUGGUAGAGCAUCCCCAUGGUAAGGGGAAGGUCGUCGGUUCAAUCCCGACCAUUGGCU